rnacentral:rRNA from 1 species
CCUACGGGAGGCAGCAGUAGGGAAUAUUGCGCAAUGGGGGAAACCCUGACGCAGCAACGCCGCGUGAAGGAUGAAGGUUUUCGGAUUGUAAACUCCUUUUAUUGGAGAAGAUAAUGACGGUAUCUCACGAAUAAUCACCGGCUAACUCCGUGCCAGCAGCCGCGGUAAUACGACGGGUGCAAGCGUUACUCGUAUGCACGGGGCGUAAUGAGGGGGGAGGCGGGAUAGCAAGUCAGAUGUGAAAUCCUAGGGCUUAACCAAAGAACUGCAUUUGAAACUGUUAUUCUAGAGUAUGGGAGAGGUAGGUGGAAUUCUUGGUGUAGGGGUAAAAUGCGUAGAGAUUAAGAGGAACACUCAUUGCGAAGGCGACUUGCUAGAACAUAACUGACGCUGAUGCGCGAAAGCGUGGGGAGCAAACAGGAUUAGAUACCCGAGUAGUC